CCUACGGGUGGCUGCAGUGAGGAAUAUUGGUCAAUGGGCGCGAGCCUGAACCAGCCAAGUAGCGUGAAGGAUGACUGUCCUACGGGUUGUAAACUUCUUUUAUAAAGGAAUAAAGUGAGGCACGUGUGCCUUUUUGUAUGGACUUUAUGAAUAAGGAUCGGCUAACUCCGUGCCAGCAGCCGCGGUAAGACGGUGGGGCCGAGCGUUAUCCGGAUUGAUUGGGUUUAAAGGGAGCGUAGAGGGGUGGGUAAGUCAAUUGUGAAAGUUUGCGGCUCAACCGUAAAAUUGCACUUGUUACUGGCAGUCUUGAGUACAGUUGAGGUAGGCGGAAUGCGUGGUGUAGCGGUGAAAUGCUUAGAUAUCACGAAGAACUCCGAUUGCGAAGGCAGCUUACUAAACUGCCACUGACAUUGAUGCUCGAAAGUGUGGGUAUCAAACAGGAUUAGAUACCCUUGUAGUC
rnacentral:rRNA from 1 species